GCCCUCGGUGGCUCAGAUGGAUAGAGCGUCUGCCAUGUAAGCAGAAGAUCCCGGGUUCGAGUCCCGGCCGGUGCA
rnacentral:tRNA from 1 species